AAGUCGUAAUAAGGUCUCCGUUGGUGAACCAGCGGAGGGAUCGUUACAGAGUUAUCUAACUCCCAAACCCAUGUGAACUUACCAUUUGUUGCCUCGGCAGAGCCUACCCGGUACCUACCCUGGAGCGAGCUACCCUGUAGCUACCCUGGAGCGGGCUACCCUGUAACGUUUUGCCGGUGGACCAUUAAACUCUUGUUAUUAUAUUGUAAUCUGAGCGUCUUAUUUUAAUAAGCCAAAA
rnacentral:misc_RNA from 1 species